UUUUGAAAAAUCAAUUGUCUGAUUGGUUUCCUCUUCCUCUUCUUCGUUUCCUCCGUUUACCAAUCUCUUCCCUCCUCACUCCUUUAGACCUGCAUAAAGAUUUAGUCUGUCUGAGGUCCUUUAGAAAUCGUUUGGAUUAUAACCUUUCACUUUCUUACCCACGAUGGAAAAUCAAAAGCUUAACUUUUAUUCAUAAAACCCCACAAGAGUAAAUCCCGUUUCAGUUGAAAUUAGCAAACGAAUUCACUAAUCUCUUCAGAUUCCCUCGAAGAUUCCAAAAACCUGUGGGGUGAAGCAACCAUAUAUCUCUUCUUCGUUUCUAUGUUUCUGACCAGGGCGAGUUUAACUGAGAAAUUGAUUCUUACUUCCUCCUUCCCGAACUCUCUUAUGCAAGCUUCCAUUUAAUCAGAUAUUGUAAUCGAGAAUCAGGAGAACACAAUCAACGAAAUCAAGCCUAAGAAGAGAAGAAACAUGGUUAGACUGGAGUGUGUCUGGCCAAACUGCACUAGCGGGAGAACAAGUUGAAUUUCAACAGAAGUUACAUGAUCAGGAUGAAAUUCAUCGCUUUCUCCUUUUCAAGCAUUAGGAAACGGAUUAGAUGCAAAGCGAAUCUUGGUCUGUAAGCAUCUGUUCUUACCGAGUCCUUGAUUUUUAAUGAGGAUUGUGGAAGCGUUUUGUAGUUGUUUAACCCUCUCCCUUACUCUUUCGUGCUGCUCUCUUCUUUGACCACAGUUUCAUGGAUACCAAAAUGGACUUCAAAGGCCAUGCAUGAUGACGCUGAGCCUCCUUAUAAGGAGAAUAUCAAUGAGUUGAUCGAGAAUGCAUGGCACUAUCAAGGAAAGAUGACGACAACGACGGGAUACAGCGUGAAAUACAUAAUGCUGAAGUUGCUCAUUCCAAAGCUGUAGCCAAAUGUUUUGAAAACCCAUUGUUCUCUCAUCGAUCACAGCCAACUGAGUUUCUCAGUACUAGCAAGGUGAUCAGGAUUCAAACUGAUAAUGGAUGGUGUUAUAUUUCAUGCUAAAAAUGUUCGAAGAAGCUAUAGUGAUGGGCAUGUGAUGAUUCCAACGGUGUCGUCAGGUUACAAACAUAUUACCGAACUUCUUCUCAAAUUACUUAGUUAUUAAAUUCACCAAAAGUGAAGUAGAUGAGAGUAAACUUAAUUUAUUCUUUUCUUUCCAGGUUUCUACUAAUCAAAGAGAGAGAUUUGCAAUGUUCGUGGAGAGGCUUGAUCAGUCUAGCGGCAAAAUCAGAGUAGAAGAACCAUGAUGGAGACGGAAGAUCUUGGUGUCUCAGUUCUUCAAGAUCUUGGUGUCUCAGUUCUUCAAGAUCUGAUAAUGAUCCCGCUGACAAAUACCAUCUCUUUCGAUUGUAUGACUUAUUCUUUCGGGUAAGUGGAGGUGGAUUGUCUUUAUUACUUCUGAUCAUCUCUUAAGAUGUUUCUAGAAGCUGUUGUAUAGAAAUUUUUUGUUGACGAGAUUCAGUGUAGAAUGUGUAACCUGGGACUGCGUCUUGAUGCUUCUAAUGCAAUUAAUUUAA